AUUGAACGCUGGCGGCAUGCUUUACACAUGCAAGUCGAACGGUAACAGGCCUUCGGGUGCUGACGAGUGGCGAACGGGUGUGUAAUGCAUCGGAACGUGCCCAGAGGCGGGGGGUAACGCAGCGAAAGCUGUGCUAAUACCGCAUGUGAUCUGAGGAUGAAAGCGGGGGACCAGGCAGCAAUGUUUGGCCUCGCGCCUUUGGAGCGGCCGAUGUCAGAUUAGGUAGUUGGUGGGGUAAAGGCCUACCAAGCCGACGAUCUGUAGCUGGUCUGAGAGGACGACCAGCCACACUGGGACUGAGACACGGCCCAGACUCCUACGGGAGGCAGCAGUGGGGAAUUUUGGACAAUGGGCGCAAGCCUGAUCCAGCAAUGCCGCGUGCAGGAAGAAGGCCUUCGGGUUGUAAACCGCUUUUGUACGGAACGAAAAGGCUCUGGCUAAUACCUGGGGCUGAUGACGGUACCGUAAGAAUAAGCACCGGCUAACUACGUG
rnacentral:rRNA from 1 species